AAAUCCAGCACCCCCCCACACACACACGUUGCAAGCGUAAUUCGCUUAUACACAAGCCUCUCUAACGCGACUCUUUAUGUGGUGUGCACCGUAUUGAUGCUGUACCCAUCCGUUCUUGAUCUCCCGGUGGCUUUACGAGAUUGUGUAUUUUUAUUUUCUUCCUCAAACAAGUUGGUGGAAGGUGCGCGAUUGAAAGCGGCUGAGAAAGACAACAAGAUUGUCAACGUUGAAUAUGCAAAUUGCAUCAUUUAUUUUAUUUAAAUUCUUUUUUUUUCAAACGAUCAUUGUACUGCAUUUAUCCCUUAAUUUCUGACGUUUACAUUUUGGUAUCGUCUCGUAUGAGCAUCCGUAUACGUUGACAAAGCAUCAAAUUGGCAUUCCGCUUUAGCCAAUCAAAGCUUUUUCUGGGUGGCCUUACUUUUAACGUUCAUUAACGAAUUCCGGCAGGGGCUUCACGAGGAGAAAAGGAAAUGAGGGCUUGUUCUUGUAAAGGCGUUGCUACUACUGCGCAAUUCAAUAGGAGUUUCAAUCAUUUUGGUGCAGAGGAAUGUCCUCUAUUUGCUUCUAAGUGCUCCGGCCUCUGCGGUCAAUAAGCUCGACUAUGCAACGAGAAAGGAAGUACGGCCCAAGCCAGACAGACUAAUGGUAAGCCUUCUAUCACCAUGACAACGAUUAUGCAUAAUACACUAGAAGGAGCCAGCAGGAUGGCUGCGUCUCAACACUUAUGGGAGUGCAGAUCUAACUGCUCGGGAGACAUUUAGACACACAAAUGUUGUAAUAACACAGUGAAAGAGAUGGUCUAUAGCUUUCUUUAAGAGUGAUGAUCCAACUUAGAUGAUGGACCAUCCACGGACUCUGGAGAGAGAUACUUUGGUGGGUGGCAGCCAAGAAAGUUCAACUGGAACACGGGCCAAACCAACAUCGGCCUUUACAUAUGAUGUAGAAGGCGUAGAAAACUUGAAAAAACUGUGAAGACAUAAAUUGAUGGGGCUUACCGUCCUGCUCAAUGCUGACGAGCAGCAUGCCGUGGGCACCGGGUCGAUCGCGGAGUAAGUCGAUGAGCAACUGCGAAGCCAUACUGCCCUGGAGUGAGGCCGGCCGGGCAAGCGGUGAUUCGAAGAUGGGCUGGAUGGCCAUGAAAGGCGUCAUGAAAUGAAGUAAAAUGACCAGCUGCGGAUCAUCCACCUCGACGACGCUCAUCGAUGCUCGUCCGGUUUGAGGCAGCUGCGAUGAUUCAAAUUCAAGUUGAAUUCCAUCAUUGGUCAGGCAACGACAAGUCCAAGAACAAGUGAUGCGAGCCCGGAAAGAAAGAAAAAAAAGAUAGGAACAGAAAGACAAAAGAAAAUGAGAAAAACAAAAAAAAAGAAACAUGUCAUUGGAUAACCGAUUUGUAAUGUUACGACACGCGAUUUUGAAGCUGUGGCAUGUCAUUAUAUUUGACUUUUGGAGCUAGAAAAAUAGAACACGCUGAAUAACUCAACGGCUCCAAAGUUGUGGGUUAAAAAAAAAAAAAAACAAAGUCAAGAGCAGAAAAAAGACGUGAAGAAAUAUAAAAAAAUCAUUCUUCCGUGGUUCGAAAAUAGCCGCAGUCGUUCACGCAGCCAUCGGCAAAAAGAGGAAAUGAACUCGACACUCAUUUUGGCCUGUUCUUUUUGGUUUUAGGUUGUCUACUGCGGAACGCCAUUUAAACCACGUUUUUACACGCAACUUUUGAUUCCCAAAUAAAUGGUAAAACCGGAGAACAGUCAAACGGCGUUCCGUGUUCUUUUAUUCUAAUCCCCAUCGCCGCAAGAAAAAAGAGCAGUUGAUUGUGGGGCGAUGUCGGAGGAAAGGCUAUUUACGUUUCAACAAUUACUUGGUUCCAGAAAUACAUCGGCGAGUGUUAAGUCAUUUAUCAAAGGAUGCCAAUUAUCUGCAAAUUGAACCGAAGCGAUUCUUACAUACGACCUUUACUAGAAUAAACCUUUUCGCACUUGCUUAGCUUCCGGGCCUUUUUUUUUUUUUAAUUCUUUUCUUCUUUGCGUGUUCCACGGUGGUCGAAUUGUUAGACGCUUUUGGAUCGAUAUAGAAUCCGGCGAACCACUCUUUGUUGUUGUUGUUCAAUACCCCUACAACGCCAAAGGAAAUUGCCUAAAGUCCUUAUCAGAGAAAGAAAAUGAUCGAUUCACUUGUUGUAAUAAAUCAUUCAAUUUCCAAUUGUGGAAUGGGAAGAGAGUUUUUAAGAGAAAGCCGGUCGUGUUGGUCCUGUUCAGUUUUUGUACCACAAGAAUAUUUUUCCUAGAAACAGUUGCUAAUAAUAUGGUCGCUAUCCAUUGCACCGGAAUCAGCAGAGUGAAGAACAGGCAGUUGCAUGUUCUAUUUACAUGGAUUUCGACAAGCGUAUAUACGUACCCCUCCAUCGGCUGGACCUCUACUACUCUUGGCCCGCCCGGAAUCAAAACAAGGAGGAGAGAACAUGGAAAGCCAAAAGCGUCUCCUCCGUAGACACACACACACAGAGAGAGAAAGAGAGAGAGAAAGUGGGAGAACUUUGGAAGAGACAAGAAACAAGGGUUUAUUUAUACGCCAACCAAGCGACAAGCGCACCCACCGUGAUACCAAACUACAUACAUCUACUUACCCGGACGCCCCAGGUCGCUACAUCUCCCUGAAAGUAUUUAUGCAAAACGUAUAGACUGGCUCUCUCUUUUAGCCACAAUAAAAUGAUACAGCCUAGUGAACGAGUACAACACAAUGUCUGCAAACACUUUGUGAUAAACCAAGCGAUCGCAGAUGAACAUUGAGAUGGUACGCACAGCUGAGCGUCACUCAAGCCAAGAUUUCCGAGCCUAUAUACGCGACGACAAAGUCCUUUAGAGCCGGUAUAGCCAUCAUGAACUGCAACCUACUGACAAGGAGUAUGCUUCUAUUUGCCAAGAAGUCAGUAUAAAAGGAAAGGAAAUCCUGAUGACUGAGUUAGAAAAGAAGAAACAACUUUGUAUCCUAUCGAGAAAUUGCAUGUAUACCUAUCCAAUUCCAAUUCACUGAAGCCCUAUAUAUUCCAAUGGGGGGAGGGGAUGCUAUUGUGUGCUCCAAUCAAACCACUCGUACCUAAUCAGAACUGUAUAACCAUUGCCAAGAAAAAUGUUAUUCGCGGAGUAUCGAAGGGCAAAUUGACUCUACUCUAAAAAAGAGUUAAAGGCCAUCACGUGUCAUCGCUGGAACGUAUAUAGUUAUGCACAUGAUCACCGUGUGCGAUGGCAUUCCAUCCAAUCCUUACUUAUUCUUUUCAUGGGCGUUGUUCGAAAUUGAAAAGCCAUUCGUUCUUAGUGCCAAGGAGACAAACCGAUGAAAGGCAAUAGAAGAAUAACGCUAUUCGUUCGGAUGGAGCUCCUGACCAGCGAUUGAGAUAUUCAUUCGUUUUGGCCGGAAUCCAUAUUAUCUGAGCGGAUCGUGAUGCGAUCUUCUUGAU
rnacentral:lncRNA from 1 species